CUGUCCCGGCUCCGCAAACACGGGCUCCCCGCGGGCCUGCGCACCCAGCCGGGUGAGUCCCUGUUGGAAAGGACCAGGGCCGGCAGCGCUGGCUGCAGUCGUGCGCUUGUCAAUCAGUUACCUCCUCGUUCCCCAAGCUCACAGAACCCCCACCAAACACCUCUGAUGAAGGACUAGGCUUUAAUCCUCUUAGCAUCAGCAAGCACUGAGUAGGCUCGCAACCCCGAGUGGAGGCCUGGCUGGCGAAGUAGGAAGGAAUAACAGCCAUCCCAGAGGAAAGCCAUCCUUGGUUGGACCCAGUGAACUGGAAGCAGCAUCAAAAGUAAAUCAAUCCCCCAGAUGACACACUCCACCCGUCAGUGCAGCCACAGGAGAGAGAGUGAAUUCAAUCCAAAUGGUUAUUUAUUCUAAAACUGGAAGCUACUGUGCCUACAUAUUUGCCAGAAUGUUGUAAUGAGAACAGGGGAGGAAAAAGUUACAGAUGUAAACAAUGACACAGUUACAUUUUUUUAAAAAUGGUAAAACCCUUUUUUACUGGCCACUUCCAAGAAUGCUUUACAGGUUGUGCAAAAACAUUUACAGGCUCCAUGUGAUGUUUGUUUUUCUCACAAGCUUUUCCAUCUACAACUACAACAGAGGUCUGAUAAAACACUAAACAAAUCUAAGGAAAACAAGGCUAGGGAUCCCUUCUGUUAAUCCACAUUUGCCCCCUUAACAUUGUUUUUUUAAUAAUAAAAAGACAGAAACAAAACCCAGACAUCUAGUGUUGUUGUGAGUGAUCUCGGAUUAAACCAACAAGGACGUGGCAGUUUCACUUUCCACCCACCUAGAAAAACAGCUUUUUUUUUUAAAGGUGACUUUCUAGUGUCAAAAUUUAACAGCAAGUACCUCCCCUAAUCCUCCCUCCCCCC